UGAGCUCCUGACAAAAAUAUGUGUAGCAAAGACAGACAAACACACAUAAACCUGGCUUGCCAGUGGGACAUAAUUUGCUGCCACAUCCAAUUUUUCUCAUUAGAACUUGUUUUAUUUGAACAUAACUCAGUACCCCGUGUAAAUGUGAGAUUGUUAAUCUUAUUACUAUAUGGAAAACAAAUUAAUUAGUAUGCAUGCUAUUGGAGAUGAGUUGUAAGGUUGGUGUUGGAAAGAUUAGGAAAAUACACUCAUUACUCCAAAUGAUAUCUGAUAUACAUGUCUGACUUCCACUUUAAGAUCAGUUCCAUUAUAUGGACAACAAAUAUAGCUAAUAAAAAAUCAAGCUUUAAAAAAAAAUCCAGCUUUUGUGCUGAGCAUCUAAAUGUUGAGAUUGAGCAGAUACAGACAUGCUGGCCUUAUUUAAAGGUUGUGGGAUGAAUAACUGCUUGUCACUAUUUCUCAGCUGAGACUUAGCUGCUGCAGGCACCUUCUCAGGGUCCAGCUUCCUUCCCAAACCAAACCAGGGCACUGUGUGCUUCUUGAGGGUAGGGAAUAUAUUUCAAUUGGAAAUUCAAAUACUGAUCAUAAUACAGUGCAACAGAAAAAAAUAUAUGUAAAGACUGAGAAAGCUCUUUAUUUGCCAAUGUGAAAUAAUCAACGAGAUAUAUUGCCAAGUGCACACCUAUGGACUGCCUCUGGAAGUAUACUGGUAACAUUGAUUCCCAGGUUACCAGGGAGGGGACCUGUGGUUGGGAGGCAUAGGUAGGAAGAGGCUUUUUCUCGGGUUACUUUUGUACCUUUUAAGUUUGUCAUAUAUAUGUACUACCAAGC